AGCCACUCACUCGCCCGCCCUUCCGGGCCCACUCCCGAGGGGACGGUCUCCCGCCCGCUCUCACACACAGCUAGCUCCUCAGGCCAGGCCCCCAGGGCUUCGUCCACCUCUCACCUUUGACGACGCGAGUCUGGAAUUGUCAAGAGUCUGAAGGCACAGAAUAAGAAUGCAGCUAGAGCAAUUUCGGCGCCACAGUUUGUCAAAACAGACAGGGUCUCACUCUGCCACCCA